GUUUGAUUAUGGCUCAGGUCUGAACGCUGGCCGGGAUGCUUUACACAUGCAAGUCGAACGGCAGCACGGACUUCCGGUCUGGUGGCAGGUGGCCGAACAGGUGAAGUAAUGUAUCGGAACGAUGCGCCUGAUGACGGGGGGAUAACUACGCGGCGUAGCUAAUACCGCAUACGCCCUUCGGGGGAAAGCGGGGGACCUUCGGGCCUCGCAGUAGAGCGGCCGACAUCGGAUUAGCUGGUUGGUGGGGUAACGGCUCACCAAGGCGACGAUCCGUAGCUGGUUUGAGGCGACCAGCCACACUGGGACGCAGACCCGCGGCUGAACUCCUACGAGAGCGGCAGUGGGGAAUUUUGGACAAUGGGGGAAACCCUGAUCCAGCCAUCCCGCGUGUGCGAUGAGCCUUCGGGUUGUAAAGCACUUUUGGCAGGAAAGAAACGGCACGGGAUAAUACCCCGUGCAACUGACGAACACCUGCAGAAUAAGCACCGGCUAACUACGUGCCAGCAACCGCGGUAAUACGUAGGGUGCAAGCGUUAAUCAAGAUUCUGGAGCGUAAAGCGUGCGCAGGCGGUUCCGAGGAAAGAAGAUGUGAAAUCCCAGAGCUUAACUUUGGAACUGCAUUUUUAACUACCGAGCUAGAGUGUCAGAGGGAGGUGGAAUUCCGCGUGUAGCAGUGAAAUGCGUAGAUAUGCGGAGGAACACCGAUGGCGAAAACAGCCUCCUGGGAUGACGCUCAUGCACGAAAGCGUGGGGGAACAAACAGGAUUAGAUACCCUGGUAGUCCACGCCUAAACGAUGUCAACUAGCUGUUGGGACCUUCGGGCCUUGGUAGCGCAGCUAACGCGUGAAGUUGACCGGUGAUACAGUCGCAAGAUUAAAACUCAAGGAAUUGACGGGGACCCACAAGCGGUGGAUGAUGUGGAUUAAUUCGAUGCAACGCGAAAAACCUUACCUACCCUUGACAUGUCUGGAAUCCCGAAAGAGAUUUGGGAGUGCUCGCAAGAGAACCGGAACACAGGUGCUGCAUGGCUGUCGUCAUUGUCGUGAGAUGUUGGGUUAAGUCCUGUGAGCGCAACCCUUGUCACUAGUUGCUACGAAAGGGCACUCUAAUGAGACUGCCGGUGACAAACCGGAGGAAGGUGGAGUCCUCAUGGCCCUUAUGGGUAGGGCUUCACACGUCAUACGGGACAGAGGGGUCGCCAACCCGCGAGGGCCAAUCCCAGGGCCCGAUCGUAGUCCGGAUCGCAGUCUGCAGCUCGACUGCGUGAAGUCGGAAUCGCUAGUAAUCGCGGAUCAGCAUGUCGCGGUGAAUACGUUCCCGGGUCUUGUACGCACCGCCCGUCACACCAUGGGAGUGGGUUUUACCAGAAGUAGUUAGCCUAACCGUAAGGGGAGGGCGAUUACCACGGUAAGGAUUCAUGACUGGGAGUGAAGUGUGGCGCAAGGUA
rnacentral:rRNA from 1 species